GUGUCAAAGGAAGAGCAGGUUAGAACACCGGGCUUUCAAUUUGUAAAGCAGCAAUUCUUCAAUUGCGGGACUUCC
rnacentral:ncRNA from 1 species